CAUUACCGAAUCGUCGACACGAGUUGUUGCUGGUCCCCAAACGGGGGCACGUGCACGCUCUGUUUGUACAUCCAUUCACACCUGUGCACCCCAUGUAGUUCUGUGGUUUGGGGGACUCUGUCCUCUCGCCGUGGUUCUAUAUCUUUACACACGCUCUGUAAUAAAGUCUCAUGGAAUGUAUGCAGCGUUUAACGCAAUACAAUACAACUUUCAGCAACGGAUCUCUUGGCUCUCGCAUCGAUGAAGAACGCAGCGAAAUGCGAUAAGUAAUGUGAAUUGCAGAAUUCAGUGAAUCAUCGAAUCUUUGAACGCACCUUGCGCCCUUUGGCUAUUCCGAAGGGCAUGCCUGUUUGAGUAUCAUGAACACCUCAACUCUCAUGGUUCGCCGUGAUGAGCUUGGACUUUGGGGGUCUUGCUGGCCUGCGGUCGGCUCCCUUCAAAUGAAUCAGCUUUCCAGUGUUUGGUGGCAUCACGGGUGUGAUAAAUAUCUACGCUUGUGGUUUCCUGCCAGGAAACCUUCAUGGAUGAAGGUUCCCUGGGGCUCAUAAAGGUCCCUCCCAUUCAAACUUUGCACCCCGUUUAAUUNNUUGGUUUUGGGGAAUUUUUCCCCUCGCCGGGGUUUUAUAUUUUUUCCCCCGGUUNGUAAUAAAGUUUCCAGGAAAGUUAGCAGGGUUUAAAGCAAUUCCAUUCAAAUUUUAGCAAAGGAUUUUUUGGGUUUUGGCUUGGAGAAGAAAGCCAGGAAAUUGGAUAAGUAAAGUGAAAUGCAGAAAUCAAGGAAUUCUUGGAUUUUUGAACGCCCCCUGGGCCCUUUGGGUAUUUCGAAGGGCCAGCCUGUUUGAGUAUCCAGAACCCCUUAAAUUUCCAGGUUUGCCGGGGUGAGGUUGGACUUUGGGGGUUCUGGUGGCCUGCGGUUGGCUCCCUUCAAAAGAAUCAGCUUUCCCAGGUUUGGGGGCCUCCCGGGGGUGAUAAAAAUUUACGCUUGGGGGUUCCUGCCAGGUAACCUUCAGUGAUGGAGGUUCGCUGGGGCUCAUAAAUGUCUCUCCUCAGCGAAGACAGCAUUGUGAACGUUGAUCUCAAA
rnacentral:misc_RNA from 1 species